AUUUGAGAAACACUGCUCUAAAGGCAACAGAUCUCUUCUGAUUUUGGAAACUAAACAGAACCAGCCCUGGUUAGUACUUGGAUGGGAGAUUAUCAACCAAUACCAGUUACUGUAGAUU
rnacentral:rRNA from 11 species